ACACGCAUGACACACUGCAUAUCAAUAAGCGGAGGAAAAGAAACUAACAAGGAUUCCCUUAGUAACGGCGAGUGAAGCGGGAGGAGCUCAAAUUUGAAAUCUUCAAGGUUCUACCUUGACGAAUUGUAGUUUAUAGAAGUGUUCUCUGUUAGUAGAGUGGCAAAAGUUCUUUGGAAUAGGACAUCAUAGAGGGUGAGAAUCCCGUAUUUGGUCAUUCUUUCUAGCUUUGUGAUACACUUUCAACGAGUCGGAUUGUUUGGGAAUGCAGUCCAAAAUGGGUGGUAAAUUUCAUCUAAAGCUAAAUAUUGGCGAGAGACCGAUAGCGAACAAGUACCGUGAGGGAAAGAUGAAAAGAACCUUGAAAAGAGAGUUAAACAGUACGUGAAAUUGUCAAAAGGGAAGCGUUUGACACCAGUGUUGUUUUUCCGAAAAUCAAUUACGAAUGUUUUAUUUUUGAGAAGUUAUGACUUCAUCGGCUUGCUUCUCUCUUUAUGAAACUUUCUUAAUGCACUUUUCGGUUAACAAGUCAACAUCAAUUUCCUUUGUUGUAAAAGGGUAUGAGGAAGGUGGCUUUCUUUUCGGAGAAAGUGUUUAUAGCCUUGUACCUCUGCAAUCGGAGAGAUUGAGGUCUGCAGCGUAGAUCCUUCGGGGUUAGAUACAUUUGUGCUAAGUUAUAGCUUUUCAUAGACAACUUGUUGACUAUGUUAAGUCUUGUAGCUUACUCGCUUAUGCUAUUUUACCUACGCUUAGGAUGUUGACGCAUGAGAUAUACGC
rnacentral:rRNA from 1 species